AACGAACGUUGGCGGCGUGGAUGAGGCAUGCAAGUCGAACGUGAAAGCCGCAAGGUGAGUAGCAUGGCGGACGGGCGAGUAACACGCAAUCAAGCUGCCUGCGAGACGGGGAUAACUUCGGGAAACCGAAGCUAAGACCCGAUGGUCUACCGAGACUGCAUGGUUUUGGUAGUAAAUGGGCGGGAUCCUUCGGGAUCGCCUGCUCGCAGAGGUGAUUGCGGCCCAUCAGCUAGUUGGUAGGGUAAUGGCCUACCAAGGCAACGACGGGUAGCCGGCCUAAGAGGGUGGUCGGCCGCACUGGGACUGAGACACUGCCCAGACUCCUACGGGAGGCUGCAGUCGAGAAUCUUCCGCAAUGGGCGAAAGCCUGACGGAGCGACGCGGCGUGGAGGACGAAGGCCUCGGUUGUAACGUACCUCGUCACGAGUUAAGAAGGACGC
rnacentral:rRNA from 1 species